GUGGAUUAGAUACCCUGGUAGUCCACGCCCUAAACGAUGUCAACUAGGUGUUGGGAGGGUUAAACCUCUUAGUGCCGUAGCUAACGCGUGAAGUUGACCGCCUGGGGAGUACGGCCGCAAGGCUAAAACUCAAAGGAAUUGACGGGGACCCGCACAAGCGGUGGAUGAUGUGGAUUAAUUCGAUGCAACGCGAAAAACCUUACCUACCCUUGACAUGUCAGGAAUCCUUGAGAGAUUGAGGAGUGCCCGAAAGGGAGCCUGAACACAGGUGCUGCACGGCUGUCGACAACU
rnacentral:rRNA from 1 species